UGCACAGAUGGUGUAACGGCAGCACCAGGGUCUCCAAAACCUUUGGUCAGGGUUCAAAUCCUUGUCUGUGCGU
rnacentral:tRNA from 3 species